CCUGGCGGCGAGUGGCGAACGGGUGAGUAAUAUAUCGGAACGUGCCCUGGAGUGGGGGAUAACGCAGCGAAAGUUGCGCUAAUACCGCAUACGAUCUAAGGAUGAAAGCAGGGGACCGCAAGGCCUUGUGCUCCUGGAGCGGCCGAUAUCUGAUUAGCUAGUUGGUGGGGUAAAGGCCUACCAAGGCAUCGAUCAGUAGCUGGUCUGAGAGGACGACCAGCCACACUGGAACUGAGACACGGUCCAGACUCCUACGGGAGGCAGCAGUGGGGAAUUUUGGACAAUGGGCGCAAGCCUGAUCCAGCAAUGCCGCGUGAGUGAAGAAGGCCUUCGGGUUGUAAAGCUCUUUUGUCAGGGAAGAAACGGUGUCCUCUAAUACAGGGCGCUAAUGACGGUACCUGAAGAAUAAGCACCGGCUAACUACGUGCCAGCAGCCGCGGUAAUACGUAGGGUGCAAGCGUUAAUCGGAAUUACUGGGCGUAAAGCGUGCGCAGGCGGUUUUGUAAGAUUGUCGUGAAAUCCCCGGGCUCAACCUGGGAAUGGCGAUGAAGACUGCAAGGCUAGAAUCUGGCAGAGGGGGGUAGAAUUCCACGUGUAGCAGUGAAAUGCGUAGAGAUGUGGAGGAACACCGAUGGCGAAGGCAGCCCCCUGGGUC
rnacentral:rRNA from 1 species